GAAAAUAGCCAGUGGAAAAAAUCGGAAAGAGCAAUAAGAAAUUAGAUAAACAAACUGCAACAUUAAAGUAAUGGAGAGAGGGGAAGGGAGAAAGAGAGGAAGAGAAACAUGGAUGUGUGAGAGAAACAUUGAUUAGUUGCCUCUCCUGCCCCCAAUCAGGGACCCAGCUUACAGGCAGAGGCCAGGGAAUGGUUCAAGGCCACAGUUUGCCCUGGCAAGGGGCACUAUGAAAGACCCAUGGGACAGGCCUGCCAUAAAGAUUUCAUUUUUUUUUAAUGGCAAAGUAAUAAAGUAAUUAUGGAUAGACUGCAUGUGCUCUGUGCUGGAUAUCUUUGGCAGGCUAGCUGGAGCUGGAGCUGGAGCUGGCAGGAGCCACAGGAAGACCUGGGGGAAAGCCAGGACAAAAGAAACAAAGGAAAAAUAAACAAAUGGGAUUACAUUAAACUGACAGGCUUCUGCACAGCAAAAGAAGACAUCAACAAAAUGAAAAGGGAACCCAGUGUAUGGGAGAGCAUAUGUGCCAAGGAUGCAUCUGAUAAGGAGCUUGGUGAGUCCCACAGAAAUCUGAACUACAUACAGAGGAAGGAACCAAGACCCGAGGAGGUGAAGAAACUCAUCUGCACAACAUGGCAAAACACGUUGCCAGGAACUGGUUCCCAGGUCUCUGUCCUGAACUGUAUGCUCUUUUGACCUCAGAAAUUAAUCACAUGCCUAGAAGCUGGAAAUGGAGCCUCUGGAGUGAGGUCACCCCAUGACAACUGAGCCCCAUGGACUGGACUAUAUGUGAACAUCUAAGGCAUGCCAUCCUUACUUAGCAAAUCCCUACCUGUGGUGUGUUCAGCUCAGCCCUCCCUCAGAAAAUUUUGUGGGAAUUUUUAGAGUUUUCCAGAACUUUAGAAUGCCCUGGCCCAACUUAGCCGUGAUAUCAUAAGGGCCUUGGAAUAGGGCGAUGGCCUCCGAGCCCACCUGCUGUGGGCCUGAUGGAUUAAAGGGACAUUGAGAAUCCACCCUGUUUUUGCCCAAGCUGUAACGUUUGUUGUAAGAAUGAAAUAUGGGCAUGCUGCCUCCCAGGGAGAACUGGCCCUUCUCCCUGGGGAGAUUAGUACUUUUAAUAUUUAACUGUUCCUUCAGGGAGAACUGGCCCUUCUCCCAGAGGGACCUGUUGGUUAGUCACGUCACACAAGGCCCUUGGCGCAUAGCCACUUUUGUCUAAAACGUAUUUAACCAUAGCCCCCCAAAGUGAGACUUGGGAAUCUCACUUGAGAGGAGGACACUUUGCUUGGAACUUUUCCCGGUCGGACCCCGAAUGCCGUCUCCAGAACUCUCCAGUGUGUGUUUUUAGGUGUUGGUGAUUUCCCAUCUGGUGAUGUAUGAUCUUGAUUCUUGCUUUCACUUUGCUCUCACUUAAUAAAGUGCUUAGCUAUUCAA